CCCUGAGCGGUCGGAGAGCGAGGUGACGGCCAUGAAGAGGACAGGCGGAGGGACUGACCAAGGAGUAUGAUCGGCUGUUGGAUGAGCACUCCCGGCUGCAAUCGGAGGUGGACAAACCAAGCCACAAGAAGGAAGAGUAGGUGCCACGGUGGCUCCUGGUGCUGAGGACCGGUGAACCCGGCCCAACUCUCAGCUGCACCUCCUGCCCCGGGGGUCCCAGCUCCUCUCCCUUGGGCACCCUGUCCUCCUGCCUCUUGUUUCCGAUCCUGGGUGGGAUCCUCUGCCCUGCUCACACCCCCUCGCGCUGGUCACUGGGACCUGGCCUCCCCCCACGCCCCCUCUCUGAGCCCCCAGCCUCUCCCCUCUCCGAGACUCCAGUCUGCCCACCUCCCACCUGGGCUCCCUGCGCUGUCUGUGCGUGGGGUCAAUCAGGUGGGAUGCAGAGGGAGUAGGAAGUGGGGGAAUCCCUAGCUGGGGUCGGUGUUGUGUUCCCUGACCUGGGGUGAGGACCCUUCACCUCCGAACAUGGACCCUCUGCUCCUCCCUUCCACCCCUCUUCCCCACCCCCCUGAACCCUGCGUGCGAGAGGCUGAGGGGUUCCUGUCAGCACGUCUGUGGGACGUUAGGGUACAGUCGGCGGGAGGGGUGGUAAAUGUUUGUGUGAGAUAUCCGGCUGCGCCUCAGUGUGAGGCCAGUGGUUACCUGAUGCCCCAGUCUGUGGGCUGGUGAAGGUGUCUAAUCUUUUGUAAAUUACAAAAAAAAGCAUCUGGGCUUCCUCUGUGUGGUAACAAUAAAUGGUUUUCGACUCAA